CCCGGCUGAAUUUAAGCAUAUAAGUAAGCGGAGGAAAAGAAACUAAACAGGAUUCCCUUAGUAAUGGCGAAUGAACAGGGAAGAGCUCAGGAUGUAAAUUGGGGCCUCUGGCCUCGAAUUGUAGUCUUGCGACGCGUCACCAACGGAGGCGCAGAUGUAAGCCUCUUGGAAAAGAGUGCCAGUGAGGGUGAGAGCCCCGUUCAUCAUCUGCAGUCCCCCGUGUGCGGUGCGCGUUCUAAGAGUCACGUUCCUCGGGACUGGAGCGCAAAGUGGGUGGUAAAUUCCAUCUAAAGCUAAAUAUAGGCUCGAGACCGAUAGCAAACAAGUACCAUGAGGGAAAGGUGAAAAGGACUUUGAAAAGAGAGUUAAAAGUGCCUGAAAUUGCUGAAAGGGAAGCGAGUGGAGCCAGUCUUUUUAGGCGAGAUUGUCGUGCACUACAGUGAAGGUUCGGCGCGCCAGCGCAAGCGACGCGUCGUUCUCCGACCUUGCCGUGCGCGAUGCUUCUUGCCUUUAGCGUCUUCGUCGGUUCAGCGUCGAGGAUAACGCCAAGGGCAUGGUACCCCGCCUCUGGGUGGGCGAAAGCGCUUGGUUGAACUCAACGCGGGACCGAGCAGCGCGUGCAAGGUCUCUGCCGCCAGCUUGCUGGGGGCGCCCUUGCGCAAGCACGAGGACAACAUGGUUCCCCUCGACCCGUCUUGAAACACGGACCAAGGAGUCUAACGUAUGUGCGAGUACACGGGUGUUAAACCUGCGUGCGCAAUGAAAGUGACUGCUGGGAUUUUUGCGCCAGCAACCGACCAAUCAAUUGAGAGAGGUUUGAGUAUGAGCAUAUAUGUUAGGACCCGAAAGAUGGUGAACUAUGCGUGAGAAGGGCGAAGCCUGGGGAAACUCAGGUGGAGGCUCGUAGCGAUACUGACGUGCAAAUCGUUCGUCAUACUUGCGUAUAGGGGCGAAAGACUAAUCGAACCAUCUAGUAGCUGGUUCCCUCCGAAGUUUCCCUCAGGAUAGCUGGAGUUGAACAGUUUCGUCAGGUAAAGCGAAUGAUUAGAGGAAUCGGGGGCGCGUUGUCCUCGACCUAUUCUCAAACUUUAAAUGGGCAAGAUCUAGCGAUUUCUUAGUUGAAUCGCUGGGACAAAUGACAACUCUAAGUGGGCCAUUUUUGGUAAGCAGAACUGGCGAUGAGGGAUGAACCUAACGUUGGGUUAAGGUGCUUAACUGCUCGCUCAUCAGAUACCAUAAAGGGUGUUGGUUCAUUUUAACAGCAGGACGGUGGUCAUGGAAGUCGAAAUCCGCUAAGGAGUGUGUAACAACUCACCUGCCGAAUGGACUAGCCCCGAAAAUGGAUGGCGCUCAAGCGGGUGACCGAUACCCAACCGUUGACGCAAGUCUUCUUGCGUCAAUGAGUAGGAGGGCGUGGGGGUUGUGGUGAAGCUCUUGGCGUAAGCCUGGGUGAAACAGCUCCUAGUGCAGAUCUUGGUGGUAGUAGCAA
rnacentral:rRNA from 1 species